rnacentral:misc_RNA from 1 species
AAGAAACAAAAUGGCUGCCGAUGUGUUCUGUGCGGCGACUACCACUCCUUCCAGUGAUAACUUUCAAUAAAUUGUAUCGUAAUACAGCCCCAAUCUGUAAAAUUUCCUUAGAUUCAAUAAUUCUGGUGUGUCGGUUGUUUACGAGGAUAAAGUUAUUUGUCAUAUCGAAUAUUUAAUAACCACAAGUUAUGAAAACGACAUGGCGGACUGAUAAUCAACCAAUAGGAAGCCAGCAUCAAGCGUUUCAGAAUUGCAUGUACUCGCAUUUCGCGUCAUUACGUUUUCGGUGCCUUCUUUCUCUUAUAAAAUUUAGUAGGUAAUCUUUUCGUAUCAGUAAGUUGAUUGACUUUUCAGUUUAUAACUAAGAAAACAGUGUGAAUAUUGUGUUUAAAAUUGUUAUGAGACGAUCGUUUGAAGUGAAGUAUCCCGACGGCUGGGAUCAUGACUGCGUUGGAUUUAGGAUGAACUGAAAUGCAAUACCAUCUUUUUGUUUUUGUAAACAAGACUAUGUUUUUACUAUACACGUGCGAGACUGUAUACAAUUGACAGUUGUUUUAACGAUGUCGGGAAGGGGGGCGAAGAAACGCGGGAGGCCUCCAAAAUCGGGGAGUUUCGAAAAAAGCAGGAAAUUCCAGUAUCAUUUGUUGAAAAAACCAAAAUAUUUACUAAAUCAGCAAAAUGCAGGAUCAGCUUCGCUGGUGAGUACACCCUCGGCAUCUAGAGCAUCGUCUCCUCAAGGAAGUGAUAUAAGUAGGCGAAGUACACGAAAACAAAGAGGAGGAAAGGCUCAUAAAAAUAAACGAGGUGGAAUAUCUGGUUCUUAUUCACGAAGAGGUUAUAAUCCUCAUGCAGCUGAUUAUCAUGAAUCUGAAUAUCACUAUGGAUCUGAUUUUGGAGAUGAAUACAGCGAUAGGUCGGAACCAGAAGAAGAUCGCGCCAGUGAAAGUUCGGAUGGCAGCGUAGGAGAUGGUGCCGCGAGCGAUAGCGACUUCUCUGUCAGCAGCUACAGCACUACCAGUGGUACACCUCGUAAGGCUAAUAAUUUACUCAGACCACCAAGUCCAGAUCCUCUAUGGCUACAACAAGAACGCCAAAUUCCAGUUUUAGACCUUCCACCAUCAUCAGAUGACUUGCUAAUACCACAGAAUUUAAUUUUACAAGUUGUUGGUGUAUAUGAGGUGUUAAGACACUUCAGACAUCUAGUAAGGCUGUCACCCUUCCGCAUUGAGGACUUGUGUGCAGCGAUUAGUUGUGAAGAACAGAGCAAUCUACUUGUAGAAGUGCAUAUGAUGCUACUCAAAGCCUUGUUAAGGGAAGAAGAUGCUCAACAGACACAUUUCGGUCCACUGGACCAUAAAGACAGUGUUAAUAUUACUUUAUUUUUGUUAGAUGUUAUGACAUGGCCUGAAGUCCUUAGAAUAUACAUUGAAAGUGAUAAAUCGUUUGACCAGAAUGUUGUUAAAAUUUUAAAUGCAUGUGAAUAUCCAUUCACAUCUGUAGAGAAUCGGCUGGCUGUCCUUCAAUUUUUAUGUAAUCAAUUUUUAAUUACUAAUCCAGUACGAGAUGAUCUUCUUAGUGAAGUUCCAAUACAUUAUGAUGAUCAUUGUCGAGUAUGUCACCGGUUGGGAGAUCUUUUAUGUUGUGAAACAUGCCCUGCAGUCUUUCACUUAGAAUGUGUGGAUCCACCUUUAGGAGAUGUGCCAUCUGAAGAUUGGCAGUGUGCUUUGUGCAAGCAACAUAAAACAAUGGGUGUGACAGAUUGUCUUCCAGAUGCUGAAAAGCAAGGCUUAAUGUGUAGACAUGAACAUCUAGGGUUUGACAGACAUGGAAGGAAAUAUUGGUUUAUAGCACGGCGCUUAUUUGUUGAAGCUGAAAAUGGGCAUGUCUGGUAUUAUUCAUCGUCUGAACAGUUUGAGGAUCUAUUAAAUGUGUUGGAUUCUGAUGAAAUGGAAGCACCACUUGUACGAGAGCUAUUGGAAAUGAAACAGGAAAUUUUAAGACAAAUGGAUAUUACUGAACGUCUUACAAAUCAAGUCAAGGGAAGUAGAAAAUCAUACUUAGAAAUUGAAAAUGCCAACAUUGUCAAAGCGCGAAAAGAAAAAGAAGAACAAAAAAGACUUGACCGUAAUCCUGAAUUAAAACUAGAAGAUGAUAAAAUUGAAAAUGUGUCAUCAUUAGUUGGUGAUGGAGAUGUGGUGAAUGAGGUAACUGUGGUCAGUGAGGACACAAAUCAUGAUGAUAAUGAUGAAUCUGCUGAAGAUGAUGAUAAUAAGAAGUUAAAAGGCAAUGCAGCUAGUAGGACAAAACUGCCACUUCAGAAAAAACAUGAAGAAGUAACUGAAAGGUUAACAAGACUAAAGUCCAACCAAAUCUCCAAUGGGACUUACCUCUUCAAAUUAGGAAAUGAAAAUAGUUUUAAGAACUACAUAAAUCAGUACUCUGCCAAUCCUUUAGCUUUAAACAAGCCACAGAGAAAUGAGGAGAGAGACAAAAAACGAUACAUGUCCCAUAAGUUUUCUUUAUCAUCAGCGCAAGAAUUUAAAUGGGUUGGAUUGCUAAAUGCUACGAAACCAUUAUUGGAGGCUACUCUUAGACAAACCUUAUUACAAUUGGAGUCAAACAUAGUAUUACAAUUUAUGCACCCCAACUGGUCACUAUUAAGGAAGCCCUGGGUGCAGGCUGUACAACUUUGUCAAGCUCCUCGUGAUUUUGCCAGGGCCCUUUGUGUACUUCAGGCAUGUUUCAAAAGUGUUGUUUGGGUACCUGCGUGGCAUGAACAACUAGGUCACGUUAGAUUAUUACGAACAACUGCGACUGAUCGGGAAGAACGAAAAAAACUUGAUAAGAGAGAAAAAAAAGAAAGAGAUGAAGAAGAGGAAAGAUAUCGGACUGCAUAUAAUUUUGUAAAGUAUUCUCUCGGACUACGGCACCAGGUAUGGAAACAAAAAGGAGAAGAAUACAGAAUUCAUGGACAAUGGGGUUGGUUAUGGAAUUCGUCGACGAGAAAGUAUAAAAAACAUGGUGUCACAAAAGCUAGUCUCAUGAGUGGCCCUGCAAAGAUAGCAGUACGAGUAAGAGAAGGCAGUAUCAUAAAAGUUUUAGCUGUUGAACCUAAAACUUACGACUAUCUUAUUUCAAAUGAAGGCGAAAAUAAAGAUGUCAUGGAAAAAUUACCCCCAUCAAUGCGCAACUUAAAAAUCGAUAAAGACGAUGACGGUUUUGAAGAAAUUGAUGUUGAAAAAGCACUGAGCUCAUCCACCAGAAGAUAUUACCCAAAGAUUGCUAAAAAAUCUAAGCUUGAUGAAUUUUUGGCUCGACGCACAUACUUAAAAUUUAUGGAGGAAAAGAAAUUGACUAAUUUAAUAGCCAAUGUAAAAAAAGAAGAAGCGGAAGUCAAAAGCGAGGAUGACAAAAACAUUGAUGUGGAAAAUGACGAUCCAGAACCAGAUAUGUCAUCAAUUUGUGGUACAGUCAGCGGAACCAAGCAAAGAGAUGCAGGUAAUACUGAAAAUGUGGAUGCGUUAAGGGAUGAAUACCAAAAAAUCAAUCAGUUAACAAAAAGAUAUCAAUGUUACUCACAUUGUUGUAAUAAAAUUGAUACAGCAAAUAUUUUGCAGAGUUCUGAAAUUAAAAUUAAUUGUUUUUCACCCCUUUGCAUUAUGAAAGGCAAACUUUUGUCUCAAUUAGUUACUUUAUUAAAAGGUGGAGCAGUGAAUUCUAAUAAUCUACUAGGAAAUUCAAAAGAUAAUACUAAAGUGUCAAUUUUGGAACAAUAUCUAUUAGGUAAAAGUUCUUGUACCAAUUCAAGCGAAAACAUAUUGACUGAUCUGUUAUCAGCAGUUGCAUGUGCUCAAGAAUGUGACAACAAAGUUUGUGAUUCCUAUGUUAAGAGAAAAUUAAGUGGAGAUGACAGCGAUAAUGUUGAUUACAAAGUAGAGAAGGAUGAUAUUGACGAUAACUCGUGUGUAGUCAAAUCAGAGAGUACUCUUGAAGAGUCCGCUGUGCCAGCAGUCGGGAACGAAAUGGAUAUUGAUAUCACAUGCAACAAUAACGAAGAUAAUGAGGUUGAAAUAGGUCCAUUGAAGGAAUUAACUGAUUGUGAGUCUUCAGAACAAGAUAACAAUGCCAGUACAACUAACGAUAGCAAUGAACGACCGCCUAUUCCUAAGUUAAAAAUAACAAGAGGAAGAGCUUCGAAAGCGUCUUCGACUACUACAAAUACUGGAAACAAUAAUGAAGCAAAAGAUUCAUCCUACAAAUGUUCUGUUACAUCAGCCAAGAAUAAUGACAAAGUAAAGUAUUGUGCAAUGGUCAAUAGAAGAUUUGGUGCAACAAAGACUCAUAAAAGAGAAGAUAAAACUAUCAAAGAAGAAAAAACAGAGGGAAAUGUGGUAAGAGUAUAUUCUACUGAGAAUCCCUCUGGAAAAGUUUAUCUCAAACGUGUACAAACAUCAGCAGUAGAAAAGAAAAAGAAACGGACUCCAGUGAAGUAUCCCCUUUGUUCAACAUUCCAUACUAGGAGUAAAGCCAAAACUAUAAUGGUUCUUCCUCAUCAUGAAUUACGAAAACUCUGUAGACAAGCUGGCCAUAAUGCGGUAGCUGGUUUCAGUCAUAACGCGAAACCUAAUCAAGCCGUGUGGCCGUACCCGUGUCCUCGGCCAUUAUUCAAGACCUGUUGGCUGUAUCGCACUGUCAAUCUUCAGUGGUUAGCAAGUGCAGCUUUGCAACUUCGUAUUAUGUGGGCUUGCCUACGUUGGGAUGACAUGGCUGCUAAGCCAGCUUCAGCUGAUGGUAAACAUCAACUUACUACUGAUACGGAAAUUGUUUCACUGGAAUUGCUAAAACAUCGACAUAUAGGGCAAUUUUCGGAGCGAACUCAAUAUCUUCGGCGACGGGUGGUAAUACCACUUGAAUUGCCGAAAACAGUUCGUGAAGUAACAUCAAUACGUAGUGGCUUAAGGAAAAGAAAACGAGCUGAGUCGCCCCAAAACACCGAACCUCAGGUCUCUGAAGAGUGGGUUGAUGAAGAUAAGCUAGAACUUUGGGAAGUUCGACAAUACGGCGAACGCACGGAGCGAGCUACGCCCGUCACGCGCACGUCCACGGGCAAGCUGCCGCAGCGCAACGUCGCGCCGCCGGCUAAUGCUGCUGACCUCAAAGAUAAAAUGGAACAACAGUUACGCGAACAACGAGCUGCUCAUCAACAGAAGAGGGCAUUGGAAAUGUCUCAAGACAAAACAAAAUCUAACACCAACCAGAAUUGUGGCAAAAGUACACUAACGUCUUUGCUGACUACAAAUGCCACAACCCCCACUGGGCAAAAAACGGUUAUUGGCACUAGGAGGAUUAUUAUGACUAAAGGAGCUGAUGGAUCAACACGUGUAAUCAGCCAGCCUAUCGCAGGACCAACGAAAUCGGCACAGAACGAUGGUACUUCAAAAUCAAAUGCCACUCCACAGAAAGAAGGGCCCCAAAAGGUUCAAAUAAUCCGGGCGCCCGAUGGAAAAAUAACUGUUAGAGGUUUAUUAGCGGGUCAGCAACUGAUACAAAUGCCUGAUGGCAAAUUGCACGUCGUAAUGGCGGGUCAACAAGGAGUCACAGGGCAACUCGUAGCAGCUUCUCCUGCGCCCAAGCCGAUCGAAAGUAACAGUUCUCCCGGAGGAGACGUCAAGAACGCCGACGAUGCGAGACAGACAGGUCGCACCGGCACAGCCCCCGCUCAGCAGGUGGUGGUGCAGGGCAACCGGCAGAUCGUGGUGCAGCCGGCGCAGCAGAUGGUGGUGCAGCCGCCUGCGCAGGUGGUGGUGCAGCCGGCGCAGCCCGUGGUGGUGCAGGCGGGCGCGCGCGCGCUGGCGCCGCGCAUGCAGACCGUGCUGCUGCAGGCGCCGCUGCUGCCCCGAGCCGCCGCGCCGCGCGCCGCCGCGCCGCGCCCGCAGCCGCGCCCGCCGCAGCCGCAGCAGAUCGUCGUCAAUAAUCCUGUCUUAGUGCAGCAGAUUGCUGCUGGCAAAAUUCAGCUUGCCACUGUCAACGGCCAGCAGGUUCUCAUUCGGCCGACUGGAAAUAACCAGGCGCAGAUAGUUGCACACAUCGGCCAGAGUCCUUCAGGCGUGAGCGCGGCGCCGGUGUCGUCCCCGGCGCCCGCGCCCCGCCCCGCGCCGCCGCCGCUGGCACCGCAGCCGGCGCCUGUGCCUAUUCAGCCGCAGCCGCAACAGCAACAACAACAACAGCUUACCGAAGAUGAAAUUGUAGAAAAGCGACUUCUGGUUGGCCAACCUCCUGGCACCGUUAUUAAAACUGUAACAGCACAGGUCAUGCAGACAAGUAGUGGUCCCAGCAUAGUUCUUCAAGGACUGCACGGGUAUUCUUUGACGCCGCAACAACUGGCGUUAGUGCAACACCAAGUUAAACAACAGUUGCUAAAAGCUCAAGAGUCUACAGGCAAGCAGGGUAUGCUGGGCCCCCGCAAGAUGUACCUGGCGGUGCAGCCGGCGCCCAGCGCGCCGCCGCCGCUGGCGCCCGUGGCGCCGCAGCCGCUGCACGCCAUACAGUCCCUGCAACCGCUGCCCGUGCCCACGCAUCAGGAUGUUAGCGAAGAAGAUCAAUUAAAACGACAAAAACUUAUGAACGGUGAAGAAAAUGUAGCUGAGGCGGCUAGUCAUCAGGAGGCGACACCUUCCAAACUUGAAGAUGUAAAAGAAAAUAACACGAAAACAGAUAUUAUAAAUUCCGGUCCGGAUGUUCUACAAAGUAAUAAAUUCGUGUUAACACCUGAUUAUAUCCAACAAACCAUUAAAAGUGCGCUCAAGCAAGAAAAUUUGAAUCCUGAAAUAGAGGAAAAGUUGCUGCAGCUUCAACGCUAUCAAGAGAAACGAAUGAAGCCGGAGGUUCAGCCAGAGAGAGAAACUCGGGCGAUCGCUGUGAUCGCUCGGUCGCCCACGCCGCCCGCGCGCCGCCGCGUCACUUCUUCACGACACGACGACGACGACGACGAGUGGGUGGACAGCAGUCCGCGCAAGAGAACGCGCGGUGGACGACCGUGCUCGCCGCCGCCCGCAGCCCCGGCCGCGCCGCCGCCCCGCGCGCCUUCCCGCGUGCCGGCCGCCGCGCCCGCCGCGCCGCCGCCUGCGCCCGCCGCGCCGCCCCCGCCCGCGCAUACCCACCCUACGGGCCUUGAUGAGCGUCGUCGAGCCGCUUCCAAUAAUUCUCGGCUGCAGAUGUUGCUCUUCAAACACAAGGAGAUGCUUAAAAAGGAUAUUAUAAAAAAGCGAGGUCUCUUAGAAAAAGAGCUCGGUGUCGAAAUCCAGAAAGAGUUGUCGGCUGAGCUGGCACUCCGAACUCGCGCUGAACGCACCAAGCAAGAGGAAGUGAGAGGAGGCAAGCGACGCGGAACGACCGCCCCUUCCACGCCUAGACCUAACAAGAGAUCUGUUAAGAAAGAAAAAUUGUUAUGUAUAUGUCGCACUCCCUACGACAACACCAAAUUUUAUGUUGGCUGCGAGCACUGCAGCAAUUGGUUCCACGGCGAUUGCGUUGGAGUCACUGAAGAAAUGAGUAAAACGAUGGAAGAGUAUGUAUGUCCAGAUUGUCGACGCGCCGAGGAAACACAAGAGUUGUACUGUCUUUGCCGGCAACCAUACGAUAAUUCACAAUUUUACAUAUGUUGCGACCGGUGUCAAGAUUGGUUCCAUGGUCGUUGUGUUGGUAUAUUACAGUCAGAAGCAGAUAACAUUGAUGAGUACAUUUGCCCCAAUUGUCAAAAAAAUAAUUCAGUCAAUUAUGCGAAUAUGAAAGAGUUAACUCAAAAAGACUUUGAAAACCUAAAGAGGCUUGUUAAACAGAUACAACUCCACAAAAACGCUUGGCCAUUCAUGGAACCUGUAGAUCCCAGAGAAGCUCCCACCUACUACAAAGUUAUCAAAGAACCUAUGGAUUUACAAACAGUGGAAAGAAAAGUGAAUGAACAAAUAUAUAGUACUUUAAGUGAGUUUAUUGGUGAUAUGACGAAAAUAUUUGAUAACUGUCGAUACUUCAAUCCAAAGGACUCCGAAUUUUAUCGAUGUGCUGAAGGUCUUGAAGCAUUUUUUGCACAAAAAAUUAAGUACUUUCGUGAAAAGUUAUUCGAAACGACUCAAUGAUAAAGUUCUAGUGUACAGUGUCUAAAGUAUAACAUGUGAUGAAUUCGGUCUACAAUAGAACACGUUCGCUAUUUUCAAUUAUCGUUUUUAUUUUCUAUGAUCUGUAUGUAAAUUGUAAACUAUGUGAUGAACACUACAAAGAAUAAUUUAUAUUAAAUUUCGAUCUAAAGGUAUCUAAAGGAGUUUGUCAGUUUGGUUCUAUUUCAAAGUAUUUAUUGUAUUUAUUACACACUUCAAUUCCCGAAUAAAGCUGACGCUCUUUAGAUAUAAGGCUCUUGACGGGAAAUAUUAUUAUGUAUAGUUUUUGUGAGAUAUUAUGUUAGCUAAUAUAAAUUAGCAACUUUAGUUACUUUAGUUGUAUUUAGAAUAAGACAAACAUAUUGUAUGUAAGUAAUAAAUUUUUAAUAAGAA